ACACUUUUUUUCCAAUUUCAGGAUACAAAUAUUAGAAGAAUAAAUGCAUACCAGAUAUAUAAGUUCAAAGCAAACAGAAUAUUUUUUUUUCCAGAAACAGCAAUAAAUUUUGAGCAUACAAGAGCCUUAACGAAUUUAGUUGAAAUAUUUUUAUUAUUAGAAGGUUUUCUUUCUGGCUCUUUUUAUUUAUUAGCAUAUACAUAAGUGCAUCUUUGGACAGUUAGUGAUGCUAGAGGGAUUGAGUUAGAGACUCCAAAAUUGCUGUUAAUGUUCAGACUGUCCUCUAUCUGUGUACCAAAUUUCACAACUUUUUACCAUAGGCUUCUUUGGGCUGCCAUAAACUCAAGAGCGAAGAAGAAGAAAAACAGAUCCCUUCACUCCUCCCAUCUGUUCUCAAUCACUGGACUUCUAAUCAUACCCACCUGUUACCACUUACCUCAUUAUGAACUAUAUUUAAACACCACUUCCCCAUACUCAGGUGUCUAUUUUUAUCUGUAUUGAAAGACCAGACCACGAUGGAUUCAAACGGAGCUGCCUCAUCCAGUCCUCCUGAUAUUGAUGAACUAGUUCAACGAUGUCAACAAACACUCAUUCCCCCAACAUGCACUGAUAACUCGCCUCCUUCUACCACUUCUCAACCGGUGUGCUCCAGUCCCAGUGUCAACCCAGCACCGCAUUCAGGCUCGGCAGAGGAUUGCAGCAGCUUCCUUCUCCUGUGCUCUCUCAUCUUUGAGAUGUAGCCGCAUUUAAGUCUGGCAUUCACCAGUUUUAUCUUACCUUUGUUGACCGGCUGUUUCCUUUUGAAACAUUCAGAUAGUUGACAUUCAUAAUGUUAAGAAUGGAAAAAAAAAAGUUAUACAGUGUCAAGAUGCAUGUUAAAUAAAGAACAGAUUCUUUUAAAAUAUUA